ACCGGGCCACAACCAUGGCCGCCGCCAAUGUCCCAGUCCCUGGAGAGGUCUCACCCCUCACCGAGAUGCACUCAGGGCCUAUUAGGUUGGCUAGGCAGUUCCUCUGCUGGCUUCCCCGGGCUCAUUCAUGCAGCUGCAUUCAGCUGGAGGGUCAGUUAUGUCCUUGGUCUCUCUCGAUGACGAUUCCUGACUCGUGGACCUGGCAAUCUUGGGAAAACAUCAUCCCAUUUCUUCGAUCUAGACCCUGGGGACCCCCCUUUCCCCAGCGUCACCCCCUCUCAGCCUGGACACAUUGACCAAACCAUUUUCUAGGACACGCCAUUCAGCAAGACAUGGUGGUGAACCUGGCUCUAAGUCUUCAUGAUUGAGGGACUCGCACAACACAGAGGUAAAUAUUUGAGGCUGGUUAGCUUGCUGGUAUGAGGCAAAUCUUUCUUUCUGGGAAAAUCACUCACAAAUGUCUCUCCGUCCUC